AGAGUUUGAUCAUGGCUCAGAUUGAACGCUGGCGGCAGGCCUAACACAUGCAAGUCGAACGGUAACAGGAAGCAGCUUGCUGCUUUGCUGACGAGUGGCGGACGGGUGAGUAAUGUCUGGGAAACUGCCUGAUGGAGGGGGAUAACUACUGGAAACGGUAGCUAAUACCGCAUAACGUCGCAAGACCAAAGAGGGGGACCUUAGGGCCUCUUGCCAUCGGAUGUGCCCAGAUGGGAUUAGCUAGUAGGUGGGGUAACGGCUCACCUAGGCGACGAUCCCUAGCUGGUCUGAGAGGAUGACCAGCCACACUGGAACUGAGACACGGUCCAGACUCCUACGGGAGGCAGCAGUGGGGAAUAUUGCACAAUGGGCGCAAGCCUGAUGCAGCCAUGCCGCGUGUAUGAAGAAGGCCUUCGGGUUGUAAAGUACUUUCAGCGGGGAGGAAGGGAGUAAAGUUAAUACCUUUGCUCAUUGACGUUACCCGCAGAAGAAGCACCGGCUAACUCCGUGCCAGCAGCCGCGGUAAUACGGAGGGUGCAAGCGUUAAUCGGAAUUACUGGGCGUAAAGCGCACGCAGGCGGUUUGUUAAGUCAGAUGUGAAAUCCCCGGGCUCAACCUGGGAACUGCAUCUGAUACUGGCAAGCUUGAGUCUCGUAGAGGGGGGGAGAAUUCCAGGUGUAGCGGUGAAAUGCGUAGAGAUCUGGAGGAAUACCGGUGGCGAAGGCGGCCCCCUGGACGAAGACUGACGCUCAGGUGCGAAAGCGUGGGGAGCAAACAGGAUUAGAUACCCUGGUAGUCCACGCCGUAAACGAUGUCGACUUGGAGGUUGUGCCCUUGAGGCGUGGCUUCCGGAGCUAACGCGUUAAGUCGACCGCCUGGGGAGUACGGCCGCAAGGUUAAAACUCAAAUGAAUUGACGGGGGCCCGCACAAGCGGUGGAGCAUGUGGUUUAAUUCGAUGCAACGCGAAGAACCUUACCUGGUCUUGACAUCCACGGAAGUUUUCAGAGAUGAGAAUGUGCCUUCGGGAACCGUGAGACAGGUGCUGCAUGGCUGUCGUCAGCUCGUGUUGUGAAAUGUUGGGUUAAGUCCCGCAACGAGCGCAACCCUUAUCCUUUGUUGCCAGCGGUCCGGCCGGGAACUCAAAGGAGACUGCCAGUGAUAAACUGGAGGAAGGUGGGGAUGACGUCAAGUCAUCAUGGCCCUUACGACCAGGGCUACACACGUGCUACAAUGGCGCAUACAAAGAGAAGCGACCUCGCGAGAGCAAGCGGACCUCAUAAAGUGCGUCGUAGUCCGGAUUGGAGUCUGCAACUCGACUCCAUGAAGUCGGAAUCGCUAGUAAUCGUGGAUCAGAAUGCCACGGUGAAUACGUUCCCGGGCCUUGUACACACCGCCCGUCACACCAUGGGAGUGGGUUGCAAAAGAAGUAGGUAGCUUAACCUUCGGGAGGGCGCUUACCACUUUGUGAUUCAUGACUGGGGUGAAGUCGUAACAAGGUAACCGUAGGGGAACCUGCGGUUG
rnacentral:rRNA from 1 species